GACGAACGCUGGCGGCGUGCUUAACACAUGCAAGUCGAACGGGAUUUAGUAAACGGAAGCCUCGGUGGAAGAUUACUAAUGAGAGUGGCGAACGGGUGUGUAACGCGUGAGCAACCUGCCUAUGACAGUGGGAUAGCCUCGGGAAACCGGGAUUAAUACCGCAUAAAAUCGUAGAAACACAUGUUUCAACGGUCAAAGAUUUAUCGGUCAUAGAUGGGCUCGCGUCUGAUUAGCUAGUUGGUGAGAUAACAGCCCACCAAGGCGACGAUCAGUAGCCGGUCUGAGAGGAUGAACGGCCACAUUGGAACUGAGACACGGUCCAAACUCCUACGGGAGGCAGCAGUGGGGAAUAUUGCACAAUGGGGGAAACCCUGAUGCAGCGACGCCGCGUGAACGAAGAAGGUAUUCGUAUCGUAAAGUUCUGUCCUAUGGGAAGAUAAUGACAGUACCAUAGAAGAAAGCUCCGGCUAAAUACGUG
rnacentral:rRNA from 1 species